UGCGAUCGCUCAUCACGGCCUCUGUUUCCGCGCUCCCCUGCCAAACCCCCCCACACAUCACGCCCUCACCCCUCCCCGUCGCGUCUUCAACCCCCGCCGGCGCCGAGUGCGCCGCUCGUCGCGCCGCCCACAUCCACGGUGAGACCCUCUGGAUCUGGCAGUCUCCGAUCCCCAUCACCGUACCCCGCCUCCGCCUCACCGCAAUGUCACCCGAUUCCGCGCCGCCAGUUCACCGUCGCCCGGAUUGACCACCGUCCCCCGCCUCUCCACCGCGCCGAUCUCCUCCGCGACUCCCACCGCCGCCGCCGCCGCUUCUCUUGGUUCUCGAUUUUGGUUUGGUUUGCUCCGGAUUUCUUGAGUCGGGGAGGCCGGGAGGGGAUUCGUCUCGUGAUUUUCUUUGUCUAUUGUUUGAUUGAUCUACCUAUUCAGGAAAAUGAUCGAGGCAAUCGACGAGUACAGCGCCGAAGAUCCGCUCCAACCAUGGCUAGAGAGGGGAUUGCUCAAGUCGGCUGGUGGUGAUCUACGACCAGACGACGACCUCUACAAGAAGGAUCUCCGCUACCUCAAAGUGUGACUGGAAUAUGUGAGUUCAUGAAUUCAGAUUUGGUUCUGAGGUGGAUUGGUUUGGUUUCCUUUUGACAUCCAGCUUGUGUUUAUCUUUUCAUGCAUGACGGCGGGGAAUUGUGCUGAUUCCUGGAGGCUAACCCGAUCAGUCAGAGCCAUACCAAUUACUACUUGUGUAAUGCGUUGGUAAUAUAUUGAACCACAGGGUAAUCUCUCUCAAUAAUUUAAAUUGGCACAAUUAAAGAUGUUGGAUUAAUUGCAUCAGUGUGACAUCCAUGAUUUGUUUAGCACUCUGGGCAGUUUUACUGCAAAUUUGUUGGUUCUUAACUCUGAAGAAUAUGUCUAGCUUAGAUUGGAUGUCUGGCCAUUGGGGAGAUAGACAUAGCAGGAUAUGGUAGUGCAUGCGUUCGCGAAAAAGGAUAUGGUAGUGCAUGAAUAAUAUGUUUAACUGACUAUGAUCCUACUGCUUGUAUGUUCACAUCAAAAUUUUUCUUUCUUAAAGAUCUGAUAACGUGGGGGAUGCAUGUAUGUUUGUGAUAUGGUUCAUCAGUAUGGAUGCAUCUUGUCACCCUGAAAGUAUACGGUUGCCAUCCAUGGAAUAAAGGGGUGAAGAAGAUGGCAAGUGUCAAUUUAGAGUGGUAAUUUGGGAAUCCAUGUCGUAUGCUUGUCUUAGGAGCUUAUGACCCACGUAGACAAGCAUGUGGCAAUACUACAGUAGCAUCUUGGCUUAAUCAUCUUAUCAAUUGGAGUAUUGUGCAUGAAAGUCAGAUAAAGGUUUACGACUGAAUAUGAUUGUGUGUUUAAGCCAAAUAUAAUAAAUUAAUAUGCUAAUCUUAAUUUAUUUUCAUGAUUGUUGAUUUGUAGGUAGGUAUGCUUGCAUUUUCUCCCGAGGGAAAACUCAAAUAGUCUCAAAUUUAGCUUACAAAACAGGAAUUGAAGAUCUAUGAUUUCUCCAUUUUUCUUUAAAUUAAAAUCUGUUUUGCAGUUAUGAGAAAACAAGGCCAUUUGUUAUUCUUAUGUACGAGUACAACGCUUUGGCAGCAAAUUUCUUUACUUACAGUUUCACAUCUUACUUGGAGUGCACUGUAUAGAAAAAUAUGAUUCAGAUUGCAUUUCCCAUUAAGUAUACGCUUCAAUAAGCAAUUGCGAGGGAUGACCUUUGCAUCCUUCUAGCUAUUUAUUUUCCACUUAAGUUCUAUGGAGUAUCACAUCAUGUGUCAGUUUUUGAUGGCAUGCCAUCGACGAAGCCAGUCGUGCCUUCUGCUUGAACACAAUGGACAUUGCCUCCCCACUUGAACAGACCAAAUCUGGAACCUCUGCCUUCAUGGACUUCACAGCUCGACAAUUCCAUUCUCCAAAAUCUGUUGUACAGAGCAACAAGUGCAAGACAUCACCCUUAAUGUUCAAAUAUAUUAUGCAAUAUAGCCUGAUCACUUAAUGUUCAAAUGUGCUCAAGCAAAGUUCCUGCAGUUGCUAUUUUAGAGAUGUGCAAGAGAUAGAAUCCCAAAUUCUAGAAUUGAGGUCAUGUCCAUGCUGCAAUAUCCUGAAAACAAAAUCAGAAUAUUACCUUCUUGUAUUUGUUCUCUGUAGGAACAUGGGCCAUUUCGCUAACCCGAAAUGAUUGGGUGUUAAAAACAAAUUGCUUUCAGAUAUUGCAUUUGCCUUAUAGAGUUGUUUCCCUUUUGCAACAAUGGAGACCUUUCAUCCCUUCGAAACUGGCAGGGUACUUGGAUGCUUUAAAGGGAUUCUUGCUUGCCAAAAUUCACGAGAUGUGAGGAUCAAGUCUCAACUAAUGAUCAAGAAGAUGGAUUUUCCAACUAGCUAUAAGUAUCCAGCGGUUCUGCAACUGUUUGCUAUCAUUUUUGUGCCGAGAUGGAAUGUUCCCUAGAGAGAUAGCUUAGGUUAGCUAUCCAGCGGUUCUGCAACUGUUUGCUAUCAUUUUUGUGCCGAGAUGGAACGUUCCCUAGAGAGAUAGCUUAGGUUAGCUUGUUCCUUUGUUCUGUAACUCAGACUGGCUUGUUCUGCCUAUUUGCUGAGCCAACAACUUUGCCUUUGUCCGAUGCUGUUGCAAGUUAAGCUUGAAACCCCAACAAUACAUGUAUCAUACUCGUGCUUUUAGUAAAGCUGGGCGAAAGCCUUUUGUCUAAAAAAAGGUCUGAUACCCUGAUCACAAGAAAAUAAUGUGAACAGAUAAACAAAUGGUGGCAAUAAAAUUCAGAGAUGUCUCCGAUACCUCUCAUAUAUGUGUGAGAAAAAAAUGCUAAUUAAUUUGGUGAAUACAGCUAGAAAUUUGCAAGUAGUACAAAAGAUUACCGUGGCGUUAGCACGGGCAUGCUACUAGUCUACCUUAUAAUCCACCUACUGGGUCUUACAUUCUUCAUACUUCAUUCAUCAAAUCUAACGGACGAAAAUGAUCGAACCAUACCUCCCUGACCUCCCACCGCGCGUCGCUCCCAUCCCACGGAAUCGCCGCACCGCUCCCAUAUCCCAAUCCCACGGAAACCGCAUCCGCCAUCAUCGCCGCACCCUCGCUCUCCCCGCGUCGCGCCGACCCCCAAUCCCAAACCCCCCGCAGCAGCUCCACCUGCGCCGCCGCCGGAUCGAUGGGAACGAACCCCCGCGCUCGCACCAGCAUCCAGAUAGGCGCCGCCUCACCGAUCUCCUCUGCGCCGCCGCCCACGAUUCGCCGUCGUCGCUCACAAAUCGUCGUCGAAGAUUCGCUGCCCGUCGUCGACGACUUCAUCGCUGCCACCUCCGACUUCUUUGCCCUCGAUCUCCGUCACUGAGCGUCAUCCACCGGCAUCCUGAUCACCGCGUGUAGUCUUCGCUCCGGGUUUAUAAAUUGCAGCAGCGAGCCAGCGAGGCGAUUCAUCGAUAUUAAAAUGUUGUGCAUAUCUCAUAUCUGUCAUCUCGUAGUAUGAUAGCUUGUGUGUUAUAGCUCGUGGACAACGACAAUUUCUAUAGAUUCUUGUUUACAGCAUGAACCAACUGUGAACAAUUGCAAUCUUUACUUGUUGAUGAUCAUGGGUGAAGCUCACGUGUCUUUUCUCUAGGAUUGGUCACUGAUAUGCCAUUACAGUUACACCUGUGAGUUUAAUAUUUUUUACCCUACGUAUAUCGCUCGCAUUGCAGCUGGUUUAUUCCAUAAUAAACAACUUCUUUUCACAAGGUUAUCAGUGAUUAGAUUCUUUGGGCAUACGAAUCUUUAAAGUUUGAUUUUCUUUUUGGCAUGUUUGGAUGGGUAUUUUGAUUUAAUCUAGAUCAUUUUACGUUUUCAUUUUUUACGGAAUCUCAUAACUGUACUUUUGUAAAAUCAUGGGAAAAGAAUUCCCAUGUGCUCUCAGGGAAGGAGAAAAAUAAGAGGAAAUGUUAAGAAAAGAAAGGGCAUCUGAUCACCCUUCUUAUUUUUAAUGCAAUUUGUAGACAAUUAUGCAAUCGAUUCCCUCUUAGUAAUUUCUAAUGGAACAAAUUUGUUGAAGCAAGGGAAAAUUGCUUACCCUUGCUUAAAAUUCAGUUCAGUCUAGAAACUCAUGCAGCCCAAAAAGUUUCCAUUAUUUAAUUGUUGCAAUUUCCAAUCAUGCUUUAAAAACCAUAAUGUUAGUCAUACUCAAAACCAUACUGCUAGGAAGUAAAAACAGCACCUACACUGACUCACCUUAAUGACUAUGACAAUUAGAUUUAAUGGUGGUUACAGAAUGAAUCAUGAAUACUGUGUUCUCAACAUAUAUUUGCAGAAUAAAUUUUGUCAAAAAAACUCAAAUUCCUUGGAUUAAUAUCACUGUCUUGGUAGUUAGUAAUAUUUAACCAGAAUAUGGUUCCUUGGAUUAAUUUUACUUUCUUGGGAGAAAUUAUAUGGCAUUCUCUUCAUUUUUUGUAUGGAUGAGGACAAGUGUAUAAAUUAGGUGCCAUUCUCUUCAUUUUUUUUGCAUGGAGUAUCACAAGUAUAUAACCAGCGCUGUAACUUGUUGUCACCCUUAAAAAAAUCACUUGUUUUCAAAUUGAUAAGGGUACAGGGGUACAGAAUUAGCUCUGUCCUACGAUUGCGUUAACUAUUCAGGUGUUAUAUGCCUGUUAUAGCAUAUAUCAAUACCAUAGAGGUCAUUUUUUAAAAAAUUCAGAUGCAUGACUAUAUACGAUAGUGCUGAUUGGAAAAUAUGCUGAGACUAUGCCAUGUAAAAAAAGUGAAACAGGCAAACAAAACUGAAAAUAAUCUAUGCAUCUUAUCCUAGGAAAAUAGUUUAUGUCCACUUCCCUGAGUCCCACGUUUACGUUUACAAUUCAUGUUUUGUGUUGUUUCAGUGUACUAUUGUGAACUGUGGUUUCUAGGAGCUGAUUGGGAAGCUGUUGAUUUUUAAUUGUUCAGGUUUGCAUAUCAUGAAAGAUCCCAUAUUGGAGAUUACUUGUAUAUAGCAUACGGUAAAAUCACCAAUGAACAGAGGUAAAAUUACUUGUCUAUAGUAAUUUUCCACUGUACAUAAUAUUUCUUUCAAAAGAUAGAAUGCAGCCUGGUAAAAAAACCUGGGACAACGUGCAGCAGACAAUGAUCUGUGGAACCAUGGUUGUGGCUGAUGCUUUUUGCUGGAGAAUGGAGUGAGGGUUGAUGCAUCAUAUAUUAAAGUGUGGUUUGGCAUCUAUUGAGCUACAGUGAGUGUUAUUUACAAGGUAGCCAAUGACAACAGAGGUGGAUGCCUACAUCAUGGUCUUAGCCUCGUAGGGCACAUGAAGGGGCUGUCCUGGUGAAGUGCUGGGGAGGCGACGACCUCUGGGGCGGUGAGGUCAGCUUGACUGCAUGCACAAGCAAGGCAUUUCAAGUUCAACACAAUGAAGUGCAUAAUGGGCUAUUGGGCUGUUAAAUAAAUCUGAAGCAUGCAAUGGCUGUAGAUACCUUAUUACUCUCCUACAUAUUGGAUCAAUCAGAAUUGUGGAGGUUUUGUGGGGAUCUGGAUAAUAUUUUUCUGAAUCAGUGGUCAUAGUAUGCGUAUAAUAGAUUAUUAUUGAGAGAAUUCCUUGCUACUUAACUAGAUUUGUAACCCCUCCCGAAUUCCUUGCUACUUAACUAGAUUUGUUACCCCUCCCAUGCGAUUCCCAGAGAUGUAUAGUUAUCAAACCAUCAAGUGGUUAUUGUGGUUUAUGUGUAUUACAUUUUGUAUUAAGAACAACGGAAUGUGGAAGCAUUUUUCUGGCGAUUUGGAUGUGCAA